UAGCGUAUAUUAAAGUUGUUGCAGUUAGAACGCUCGUAGUCGGAUUUCGGGGCGGGUCGACCGGUCUGCCGAUGGGUACGCACUGGCCGACGCGUCCUUCCUUCCGGAGACCGUGCCUACUCUUAACUGAGCGGGGGCGGGAGACGGAAUUUUUACUUUGAAAAAAUCAGAGUGUUUCAAGCAGGCAGCUCGCUCUUGCAUGGAUUAGCAUGGGAUAAUGAAAUAGGACUUUGGUGCUAUUUUGUUGGUUUCGAACACCGAAGUAAUGAUGAGAAGGGACAGUCAGGGGCACUCGUAUUCCGCCGAGAGAGGUGAAAUUCUCAGACCAGCGGAAGACGAACCACUGCGAAAGCAUUUG
rnacentral:rRNA from 1 species